rnacentral:rRNA from 1 species
AUGUCAAUUCGGUUUGCAAUUUCAGGAUCAACGUCGAUUGAUACGCUGAACAUUCACCUGUUCUCGUCGCAGUCACUCAGCUUCGUCAACAACAUUCACACGACGCUGAUCAAUGCGCAGAAGGGCAACCAAUCGGUGUCCUCCUUCUUCGCCGCCAUGAGGGGGCCCGCUGAUGAGCUCGCCGCGGCGGGAAAAUCGAUCCAGGACGACGAACUCAUAUCCUACAUCAUCCACGGGCUGGACCAAGAUUACCAGCCCCUCGUCUCUGCUCUGGACGCUCGCAUCACUCCGGUAACACUUGACGAGCUUUUUGCCAUGCUUAGCAAUUUUGAUCAGCGCAUGGCGCAGUACCAUGGCUCCGGUGAUGGCUUCAAGUCCUCGGCGAACUCCGUCUCCAGAGGCCGCAGUAGCGGCUCUCGCUCCCGUGCCUCCUCGCAUGCCAAAGGGAGGUUUGGAUCCGGCGGCGGCGGCUACUCCAACAACACUCGCAGCGGCAGACGCUCCGACAGCUCAAAAGGGCGUCGUGGUUGUCGGCUCCAACAGAUCGCGCCCGGACUUGCCUCGCUGCCAAAUUUGUGGCAAGCCCGGUCACACGGCGAAGGAUUGUUGGUACCGUUACGAAGAGGAUGA